GAACAUAUUGUUUUUACUCUGUUUCUUCUUAUUAAGGUCUUCCGUUUCCAACGGAAGACCUUCUAGUGAUUCUACUGUUUUUUCUUAUUAUUAUUUUUUUUUUCCCUUUCGUCUCCGAGACCGUUGGAUGGAUUUUCCUGAAACUUUCACAGGUUAUAGGGAACGAUGGUACCUCGAGGCAUUUUUUUCAUUUUUUCAAAAUUCACUUCCGUUCGUCAGAUACGUCCGAUUUUCCGGUUUUUGAAAGAAACUUUGUCCGGGGGUAAACUUGAAAACCACUAAAGAUAAUCGAAUGAAACUUUCAGGGAUGAUAGAUCUAUUUUCUCUAUGGUGCAUGCACGUAAUAUUUUUUGUCGCCGUCACUUCCGGUCGUCACCGGAAGUGAUCAAAUAAAUCAUCAAUUUCAAACUUUUUUCUUUCAAAUUGAAAGCUACUUUGGUUUACUAUAUCUCGUUCUAAUUCUCAAAAAAUGUUGACCCCACCGGAAGUUGAAUCUCCAACUUCCGGUUAUAUCAAAGAAAGACUAUUCAUUCUCUCAUUUUUCAGUGCCAUAAAUCUCGGUCAUGAAACUAGUUAAUGAGUUGAGUUUUACAUAUAUUAUAGUCACUAUAAAUGUCUAGAGUAACGUCAAAUAUUUUUGUAAAAUUCACUUCCGGUCGGCAAAUACGGCUAAUGAGCUGUUUUCGUUGUCAAUCGUUUUUCUCAGAAACGGUAAAAGAUAGAGUCACCAAAAUUUCAGAGUUAAUAGAUCUCACUUUGUAGGGGUGCAGUAGGGGGGUAAGAAUGUCGGCCGUCACUUCCGGUCGUCACCGGAAGUGAUUAAUAAAUCAUAAAUUUCAAACUUUUUUCCUUAAAAUUGAAACCUAUAUCGGUUUAUUAGGUCUCGUUCUAAUUCUCAAAAACUAUUGACCCCACUGGAAGUUGAAUCUCCAACUUCCGGUUAUAUGAAAGAAAAA